AGGGUUAUAAUUUAUUUAAAAUAUUUGAUUUGCACUCAAAAAAUAUUGAAAUUUCAAUUUACCUUA
rnacentral:tRNA from 1 species